GUGGCUCAGUGGUAGAGUGCUUGCCUUGCAUGCAUGAAGCCCUGGGUUCAAUUCCUCAGC
rfam:Dipodomys ordii contig_60126, whole genome shotgun sequence.